GACAGAGGGGGCAAGCGUUGCUCGGAAUCACUGGGCGUAAAGGGCGCGUAGGCGGGAUGGCAAGUCGGUCGUGAAAUCCUUCGGCUCAACCGAAGAACGUCGGCCGAUACUGCCGUUCUUGAGGGAUGCAGAGGAGAUUGGAAUUCCCGGUGUAGCGGUGAAAUGUGAAGAGAUCGGGAGGAACACCGGUGGCGAAGGCGGGUCUCUGGGCAUCUCCUGACGCUGAGGCGCGAAAGCCAGGGGAGCAAACGGG
rnacentral:rRNA from 1 species